rnacentral:tRNA from 1 species
GGUGAGUUAUCUUGACUGGGUCAAGGCUCCGUUGCUAGCGGAAGCGCGUCUUAGGGCGUGGCGUUCGAUUCGUCAACUCACCGC